CUUGGAUGAUUCAUAUUUACAGAUGCAAGAAAACUCCGUGAAAACUAUUCGAAUGAAGACAACGAAAUUGGUGCCGUAGAAAGGGAAGAUGGACCACAAAAACGGCUAUACCAUUAUAAAAUCUGCGACUCACGAUGUGUUGCAAGAAACUACUCCAAUAAGCAGGUGCUUUGCAGUAAAAAUCAGAAUGGGGUCUGCGAUGCCUACUUCAUAAACUGAAGUUAAUAUAUCCUUCCUGUUGACGAUUGAAAAUGUUUGUGCCGAUAUGAUUGCG